UACGGGGGGGGUAAGCGUUGUUCGGAAUUACUGGGCGUAAAGGGCUCGUAGGCGGCCAACUAAGUCAUACGUGAAAUCCCUCAGCUUAGCUGGGGAACUGCGUGUGAUACUGGAUGGCUUGGAUUUGGGAGAGGGAUGCGGAAUUCCAGGUGUAGCGGUGAAAUGCGUAGAUAUCUGGAGGAACACCGGUGGCGAAGGCGGCAUCCUGGACCAAUAUUGACGCUGAGGAGCGAAAGCUAGGGGAGCAAACGGG
rnacentral:rRNA from 1 species